UCACUUGUCUUUUAAAUGAAGACCUGUAUGAAUGGCAUAACGAGGGCUUAACUGUCUCCUCUUUCCAGUCAAUGAAAUUGAUCUCUCCGUGCAGAAGCGGAGAUAAAAACAUAAGACGAGAAGACCCUAUGGAGCUUUAGACACAAAGACAGAUCAUGUUAAACACCCCCCAAUAAAGGCCUAAACUUAAUGAUCCCCUGUCCUAAUGUCUUCGGUUGGGGCGACCAUGGGGAAACACAAAUCCCCCAUGUGGAAUAGGAGGACAAUCCCAUAUUAUUUUCCUCUCCUCCCACAAGCAAGAGCCACAACUCUAGCUAACAGAACUUUUGACCUUAUAUGAUCCGGCGCACGCCGAUCAACGGACCAAGUUACCCUAGGGAUAACAGCGCAAUCCCCUUUUAGAGCCCAUAUCGACAAGGGGGUUUACGACCUCGAUGNUGGAUCAGGACAUCCUAAUGGUGCAGCCGCUAUUAAGGGUUC
rnacentral:rRNA from 1 species